rnacentral:rRNA from 1 species
CUCCAACCCUUUUGUGAACAUACCUAUCGUUGCUUCGGCGGACUCGCCCCAGCGUCCGGCCGGCCCCGCGCCGGCCGCGGCCUGGAUCCAGGCGGCCGCCGGAGACCCCCAAACUCUGUAUUCUCAGUAUCUUCUGAAUCCGCCGCAAGGCAAAACAAAUGAAUCAAAACUUUCAACAACGGAUCUCUUGGUUCUGGCAUCGAUGAAGAACGCAGCGAAAUGCGAUAAGUAAUGUGAAUUGCAGAAUUCAGUGAAUCAUCGAAUCUUUGAACGCACAUUGCGCCCGCCAGCAUUCUGGCGGGCAUGCCUGUUCGAGCGUCAUUUCAACCCUCGACUUCCCUUUGGGGAAAUCGGCGUUGGGGACCGGCCGUAUACCGCCGGCCCCGAAAUGAAGUGGCGGCCCGUCCGCGGCGACCUCUGCGUAGUAAUCCAACUCGCACCGGAACCCCGACGUGGCCACGCCGUAAAACCCCCGACUUCUGAACGUUGACCUCGGAUCAGGUAGGAAUACCCGCUGAACUUAAGCAUAUCAAUAAGCGGAGGA